rnacentral:rRNA from 1 species
AUGUGCCAGGGAUGCUUUCCUUGGAGAAAUCAGGCAAACCUGCAGGUGGGGCAACAAGCGACACCAAUUUAUCAAGACCCCUCUGUUGCUGGAUUAAUGAAUGGUCCACAUGUUGAUUACGACAAUAAUCCAGCUCCUAACAGUGGGAGAAACAUUCUGGGAGCAAUUCAAGUAGAUCAAAUGGCAAUGCAGCACGAGGGACAAUAUUUAGACCCCCAUGUUGGACUUACAAAUGGUCUACAUGCUGAUUACACCAUCAAUCUAGCUUCUAAUACUGAGGGAUUGUUUAUGGGAGGAAACCAAUCAAACCUGCCUAUGGAGCAAUAUUUUGAACCAGUUCAUCCAGAGCCCAGUGUUGGUGGAUUUAUGGAUGGUUCACAUGUUUAUUACACCAAUAAUCUGUCUUCUAACAGUGGGACAAACAUUCUGGGAGCAAAUCAAGCAGAACAGAUGGCAGUGCAGCAUGAGGGACAGUAUUUAGCUUGCAAUAUUUCUAGAUUCGUGAAUGGUUCACAGCCUGACUGCACCACUAAUCCAGUUCCUAACAGUGAUAGUUCUGGAAAGCACUAUCAUGCUGAAACAGAAACACAGAUGACUCUGCCAUCCAACAGUUACCCUCUGAAUGAUAACAUGUAUUGUAUGACAUGGGAAACUAACAUGACUAAUGACAACGAGUCAUCACUGGAGCCUUUUACCCCGUGGGAGGAAUUUUAUACAGCAUCUGCAUAUGAUCAUACUCAAGAUGGACAUUAA